GGACGAGCGCCCGCCCUGCACUUCCGCCCUCCUGCGCGCCCACUUCCGCUCCACGGGUUCUGCCAAUGGAGGCGGACAGAUGGUUGAGCCAUUCAGAGGACUGGGGUUGGAUUCUCAGCAUCCAUGGGGUGGUUGCAAACCAUCUUAACUCCAGUUCCCGGGAACCUGACGCCCUCAUCUGGCCCCGACAGGCACGCCAGAUGUGCACACCGUGCAUUUACAUACAGGUUCACAGUCCAAUGCCUCCCAAACCAUCAACGAGUGUUGUGAAGAACACAAAAUUGAGUGAAACAGAAGUCAUGCAACCCUAGAAUCCCACCCUGACACUGACCUGGAAGUCUGCAGGGCAAACUGUCUUCCCCCUGCCUAAGUGCUUGGCUGACCGCAUGUGUUUUGUUUUGUUUUGUUUUGCUUUGUUUUUCUUUAAUGAUGUGAUUGUCUUUUGCCACGAUUUGACAGCUCCCACCAGUCCCUGCUUCCAUCCUGCCUCGAGUGUUCAUGGCCUCUCCUGACCUGAGGACUGGCCUGGAGCUGCAAAGCUUAGACUUGCCAGAGGCAGUGAGUGCUAGAAACUGGGGAGAGACCUCAGAGAGAUGAUGGGUGGAAGGGUGUGCUGCAAGGAUGAAUGUUCCCUUCUGACCACCUCUUGAUUUCACCCUUUGCAUAAUUGUGCUGGCCAGUGCCCCGUGACCCCAUCUGAACCCUUUAUGUUUCCAUUAGGGGACUCACCUUUUCCAUUUGUCCCUUAGACCAACGGAACUGAGCUUAGCAGCAUUACUACCUACACAUAUACACAUGUAUACAUAUGCAUAU